GUUGCUGAGGGCGGCUGGAAGACAAUCAGCCCUGUCAUUGAAUCUAAAGUAUUCACUGAGUCUCUGAGUCAAGAAAAAGACCAGCAUCUCCAAAAAGGUCCUGUCAGAUCUGCCCAGCUAUCAAUUACUGGAAUCAAUUGCAGAGGAAGCACUUGUGCCUCUCCCUGACUCUCUGAAGACCCUUAACACACGCUUCAGGGCCUGACUGGAGGAGAGGACAACAAAUGAGGAUCUGUAAUACACAUGCCCAAGGAAGAGCUUUAAUUAUUUCC